ensembl:lncRNA
AAAUAUGGCUUUGAAGGUUUUAACAAGGGAUGGUAUAUAAAAAAUGGAAUUACAUGUCCAGAAAAUGCAAGCAGUCAUUGAAAGCAUCAUUAAAUCAAGUGCUCAAAUGGUAAUACAGCUUAACAUUUUUUCACAUAAGCAGCUGAAACAACAUGAGAACUCUCUAAAACGGUAGGGGCAAUCAUUCUGUAUCAGGCAUUUAACCCCCUAAGCCACGGAAAACCUGCAUAAUGGGGGCUUAAACUGACAGAAUUGUCAUUUUUAUCCAUCCAUGUUUGCAUCAUAAAUUGAAAGUAUUUUCCAACAGAUUAGGACAGGGCAGGGAAUCUGGAUCAUACUCUAUAAAAUAGCAAGACAAAGGACAGCAAGAAUACAUUCUCUAAUUUGGAAAUUCACAGGGGUUCUUAGAAUCUUUUCACGUUAGAGCGGGAUGAAUCUUAGAAAUCAGUUGUUUUAAUUUCUCUUUAGCUGCACAGAUUCUGCAAACUAAAACAAAUGAAAGAGGUACUGGAAAAGACUGACUGAGAUGUCCUCGUCCAUAGGUCACAAAACUCUGAGAAACAAAUUCUACCACAGAAACAUAAAACAGACUCGGGUGUCUAUAAUAAAACAAAGCUGGUGAAUCCUCAUUGUCUUACCUGAAAAGCUUUUUGUGAAGAAACAUUCCUUUUGAAUUUAAUAAGAUGGUCUUUUGAGUUUGUUUUUCGUAAACUCAAUAUAUUUCAAUAUUUCAUGUGGCAUGCUUGUUGCUACUCAACAAAAAAGAAUUUUUUUUUAUUAGACUUGAUCUUAGUUUAGAAAAUGAGUUUGAUGCAGGAAAUAAUGAAUAGAAGGGAGCAGUUGUCAAAAUGUAAUAGAAAGAUGGAUUUAUAAUACUCUCUAUUUUUGUUAACUUUGCUUAUUAAUUAGUAAUUCCUAACAGAUGUGGUAUGGAUUACUUAGGAAAAAGUGAUUCUAGUAAAGUAGCUUUUCUAACUGCAUAGAAACCUGAGAUGAGAAAGAGAGAGAUUGAGAGACACACACAGUCUUACGCUGCUGCCUGUGGCCAGGCAUCAGCAAGAAAAGUGUAGGUCACACUUUGAAUCAUCUGUGAGUUCCUGAUUUUCAAAGGGAGUAAUUGUUAUAUAGUGUAUUAGCCAGGGAUCUCCAGAGAAACAGAACCAAUGGCACAUAUAGAGAUAUUAAAAAAAAAGAAAAAAAGUGUUUUUCUUUUCUUCUUCUUUUUGAAACAGAGUCUUGCUCUGUUGCCUAGGCUGGAGUGCUGUGGGAUGAUCUCAGUUCAGUGCAACCUCCGCCUCUUGGGUUCAAACAAUUCUCCUGCCUCGGCCUCUUGAGUGGCUGUGAUCACAGGUGCCCAUCACCAUGCCUCACUAAUUUUUAUAUUUUUAGUAGGGACAGAGUUUUACCAUGUUGACCAGGCUGGUCUCCAACUCCUGACCUCAAGUAAUCUGCCUGCCUUGGCCUCCCAAAGUGUUGGGAUUACAGGCGUGAGCCACCACGCCUGGCCAGGAAAGGUUUAUUAUGAGGGAUUGGCUCAUGCGACUAUGGAGGCUGAAGAGUCCCACAAUCACCUGUUUGCAAGCUGAAGUCCCAGGAAAGCUGGUGGUAUAAUUCCAGUCCAAACUGGAAGGCCUGAGAUCCAGAGAAGCCGAUGGUAUAAGUCAUAGUCAUAGUCUGGAGGUCAGAGAAUCAGGAGUGCUGAUGUCCAAGGGAAGGAGAAAAUGGCUGAAUGGCUGUUCCUGGUUAGAGAGAGUGAAUUCUCCCUUUCUCUACCUUUUUGUUCCAUUUGGGCUGUCUACAGAUUGGAUGAGGAGCACUCACAUUGGUGAGGGCGAUUUUUACCCAGUCUACUGAUUCAAAUCUUAGUCUCUUCCAGAAAUACCCAGGCAUCCUUUACUGCAGUCAAGUUGACACAUAAAAUUAGCCAUCACACAUACAUUUAUGUGGUCAAGAGCGGGUGAGUAACUUUCCCUAAGUCCAAUAGUGGGAAUGGAAAUCAGGGGUUGGAAUGCUGGCAUUUCCCAACAUCAGACCUGGGCUCAGACACUCAGAAACUCACUUCUCCCCUCCUUCAUUCCAGGACUGAUUAUCUAGCAGAGCAUAUUCUACUUAGGCUUCAUAAACAAAGUCCUCCCUUUGCCCUUGCCCUUCUUUCUAGACUACACAGAAGGACUUUUACCCGGUGAGUUAAGUUCCACAAUCAGAGAGUGUGUUAAGUGUUUCACUGUGAGAGGGACAGGGACAGAAAAAGCCUGGCUUUUGAAAGUUCUCCCUCAAUUGGCUGUAGCGAUGGUUCUCCGUGAUACCCCAAGCCCUUUAAGGGGAGCCAUGAGGUCAAAACUAUUUUUAUGAUAACACCAAGAUGCUAUUUGCCUUUUUUACUGGGUUGACUUUGCGCUGAUGAUGCACUAGCCAUGAGGCGGGUGAAAAUGGCUGUACUUUAGGACAAGUCAAGGCAAUGGCUGGCAGCAAGCUGUGGUAGCCGUCAUUGUGCUCAUUGUCACACUCUGGCUUGUAAAAUAUGCUAGUGUCACUUAAGAAUGCCCUUAGGAAGCAGUAGAAAUUAAUUGUAUUAGUCUUGAUCCUCGGUUACAGGUCUUUUGAGUAUUUUCACACAAUGGGAAGUACACAUAAAGCACCUCUGCUGCUUAUAUUAAUGUAAGUGCCAUGGUGGGCGGGAAGAAGACCACUGUGUGGUUGUUGAGUUGUGAGCUAAACUCGUUGCUUUGUUCGAGGAGCACCAUUUUACUUGACAGAAUGACUGACAGGCAAACUGUGGUCAUUCACAGUUGGCUACAUGGCAGAGGUUUUCUUGAAAAGAACUAAGUGAAGUUGUCAUCUCAAGGAAAAUAACUGACAGUAUUUGUUGCCAAUGAUACAAUUCAAGCUUUCAAGUGAAAAUUAGAUGUUUUAAAAACUUCAAUCUUCAGCCAGGCGUGGUGGUUCCUGCUUGUAAUCCCAGUGCUUUAGAAGGCCAAGGCGAGUGGAUUGCUUGAGCCCAGGAGUUCCAGACUGGCCUGGGCAACAUAGCAAGACCCUGUCUCUACAAAAAAUGCAAAAAUUAGCUGGGCAUGGUGGUGUGUGCCUGUAGUCCCAGCUAUGCGGGAGGCUGAGAUGGGAGGAUUUCUGGAGCCUGGGGAUCAGAGUUGUAGUGAACUGAGACUGUGCCACUGCACUCCAGCCUGGGUGAUGGAGCAAGACCCUGUCACAAAAAGCAAACGAACAAUCAAAACCCCAACUUGAAUUUUCCACUGUGUGCCUGACAGCUUCCCAAAACUUCGAACUUUUCUGAUGCUAUUUGUAGUGAUAUUAAUAUAUGUAAUCUUUGGGGAUAUUAUGUAAUACAAUAUGUCAACAUCUGAAAGAUCUGAGUAGCUCAGUGAACUUCCAAAUGACCAAUGCAUGGUGUCACAUAAUCGUAUGUGUAUUCACAGUGAAAUAUAGUCCAAUGGAGUUUAAAGUAACAGAGAAGGAAAAGUUCAUUGAUAAUGAAUUUGAUUCUGUUUGCAAUUAAUCUUUUUUAAAAACUACCACUUGUUGA